rnacentral:rRNA from 1 species
UACGUAGGGGGCAAGCGUUAUCCGGAUUUACCGGGUGUAAAGGGAGCGUAGACGGCUGUGCAAGUCUGAAGUGAAAGCCCGUGGCUCAACCGCGGAACUGCUUUGGAAACUGUAUAGCUUGAGUACUGGAGAGGCAGGCGGAAUUCCUAGUGUAGCGGUGAAAUGCGUAGAUAUUAGGAGGAACGCCAGUGGCGAAGGCGGCCUGCUGGACGAUGACUGACGUUGAGGCUCGAAAGCGUGGGGAGCAAACAGG